UCCGGUUGAUCCCGCCGGACCCCACUGCUAUCGGGAUAGGACUAAGACAUGCUAGUCGAGUGAUUCAGGCAAAACGAGUCACGGCACACAGCUCAGUAACACGUGGCUAAUCUGCCCUUAGGACGAGAACAACCCCGGGAAACUGGGGCUAACUCUCGAUAGGCGAAGAACUCUGGAAUGAGUCUUUACCUAAAUAGUGCAACGUUAUCCUCGUUGCAUCGCCUAAGGAUGAGGCCGCGACCGAUCAGGUUGUUGGCGAGGUAAUGGCUCACCAAGCCUUUUACCGGUGCGGGCCGCGAGAGCGGGAGCCCGGAGAUGGGCACUGAGACAAGGGCCCAGGCCCUACGGGGCGCAGCAGUCGCGAAAACUUUGCAAUAAGCGAAAGCUUGACAGGGCUAUCCCGAGUGCCAUCCGCUGAGGAAGGCUUUUACCCAGUCUAGAACGCUGGGGGAAUAAGGAGAGGGCAAGUCUGGUGUCAGCCGCCGCGGUAAUACCAGCUCUCCGAGUGGUGUGGAUGUUUAUUGGGCCUAAAGCAUCCGUAGCUGGCUAGGUCAGUCCCUUGUUAAAUCCACCGAAUUAAUCGUUGGAUUGCGGGGGAUACUGCUUGGCUAGGGGACGAGAGAGGCAGACGGUAUUUUCGGGGUAGGGGUGAAAUCCUAUA
rnacentral:rRNA from 1 species